AAAUCUCCUGCCCCAUGGACAUGCCCCCCCACCCGAUGAUCAACCAGGAGACGGACGGCGAGGGCCAGAGCGACCAUGAUGUCAUCAAACGGCGCCUGCGCAGCAGAGCGGCUAAGUCCUAGCGCUGCCCUCCAGAACUUUACUGUAGAAAUGAAGCUGCUGGUGACGGAUCGUUGUUCUGAGACGCAUUUAUUGGAUCGGUUCUGUGGAGGCCGACCCGUUAACACUAACCAGCAUUUAGAAGUUCAUGUUUCACUUUAUUAACCAGCAAUGGUUCAUCUCUAAUGUGCAAUCUGCUCUAACUUCACCUCCUAGAACACUUUGUGGAGCGUUUAACGGUUCUGCUGCAAAGUCUCACUUUAACCUGAAUCAUUAUGUUCUGACGGGUCAUCCGGUCUCAUCAGAGUCCAGAGCCAUCAUGUCCAGGAAACCAUCUGUUCCCAGAACCAUGAUCCUGGCCGGGUUCUCCUCCUGGUUCCUUUGAGAAGAACCCUGCAAACCAGAUGAUUAAAGUUCUCACAUUCCUCCUCCGCACUGUGGAGAACCGUGAAUUUAGACGUUUCUGUCAGAGAUGGUAGAAAGCCUCGCCUUGCUUGACCUUCGCUGAUCUAACCAAAACAUGGAUGGACCGAUGCAUGUGGGUUCUAAGCAGGUACCGCUUACAGAGUUCUCCAAGGUGUGUUUCUCAUGGUUUGAGCUGCUGACAUGUGAUGAAGGCUCAGAUAAAGACCUCACCUUUGCACCUGGAUCCUUUACUCACCUGUAAUACAGUGAACCCUCUCUACAUCACGGUUCACCUUUCACGGUCUCACUGUUGUGUUCUGCAUUCUGAUUGGCUAAACAGUCUCUCCGCUUCUUCUCUACCUGUGUGUCAAUAACGUUGCAGUUUAAUAUUUACACGUA